rnacentral:piRNA from 1 species
UGUCUCUGCUUAAACUGCACAGGCAGGC